UACGUAAGGGGCAAGCGUUGUUCGGAAUCAUUGGGCGUAAAGGGCGCGUAGGUGGUUCUGUAUGUCUAUCGUGAAAGCAUACAGCUCAACUGUAUUUUGUCGGUAGAAACUGCAGGACUUGAGGCUGGGAGGGGCUGGUGGAAUUCCCUGUGUAGCGGUGAAAUGCGUAGAGAUGGGGGAGAACACUCGUGGCGAAGGCGGCCAGCUAGACCAGUUCUGACACUGAGGCGCGACAGCGUGGGGAGCAAACAGG
rnacentral:rRNA from 1 species